GACGAACCGUGCAAACGUUAUUCGGAUUCACUGGGCUUAAAGGGCGCGUAGGCGGCGGAUCAAGUCAGGGGUGAAAUCUUUCGGCUUAACCGGAAAAUUGCUUUUGAUACUGAUUCGCUUGAGUGAGGUAGGGGCAGGUGGAACUUCCGGUGGAGCGGUGAAAUGCGUAGAUAUCGGAAGGAACGCCGGUGGCGAAAGCGACCUGCUGGACCUCUUCUGACGCUGAGGCGCGAAAGCCAGGGGAG
rnacentral:rRNA from 1 species